UAAAACCUAAAGCGAAGCUGAUGAAGAUGAUCGAUGUGUGUUUCUUUCUGAUCAUCCAUUAUAUAUAUAUAUAUUCAUGUAUCAUCUAGUCAUCAAAUGUUGAGCAUAUAUACCAUCAGUACAGCUCAUAAUGAAUUACUCAGAUGGAGACAAAUAGAGAGAGAAGAAUAAAGAGCCAGCAAGCAAGCAAGCAUUAAAGGGAAUGAGUUCAACCGAUGAAUUCUUGAUUCUUGCUAGUAAUAUUUUUCACUAUCAUACUUAGGAAGUUGAUAUCCGAUUGAAAACAAUUGAUGAGUUGGUUGCCUAAGCAAUGACUUCAACAGUGGUAUAUAGCUAGCACAGGUUAAUUUUCGAUUAUCUUGUCUUUAUUCCUUUUUCUUUUUUCGGUCUGAGUAUCAUAUAUAACAUGCAACUCUAAUUAAUUUCUAGAUAGAAAAAUGAAAGCAAUAUUUUAUAAUUAGUGAGACUCAAAAAACAAGGACGUUCGCAGUUGCCACUAUAAUAAUAUAUAUAUCAUACUCUAUCAUGCAUAGUGCUUAAUUAUUAUUAUCCUGUUUUAUUAGGAAAUAAACCAAGCUAAUUUAGGAUGAUAUGAAGCUAGAGCUGUAUACUUGUUUCUAUUUGGAGUAAUCUUACUUAACCUAUUAGGCCAGGAAGCAUAAAGAGUUCGACCGAAUAGUGGUCCAGGCAAAAAAUAUGGUCCAAUAUUAAUUCAUCAUCAGCUAAGAAUUUUAAAGCACAUGCCUACCUUGUACUAAAAGAUAUAUAGACCAUUUAUGUGUUACUCCCAUCCAAUUUUGUUCUUCUUUUUUGUCCUCCCCAAUACCAAUUUAUAAUUUCUCAAAUUCUACGUCCUAGACAACCCCUUUUCCGUUUGAGAUGCAUGGAAUUUUCAAAUUCUGCUUUUGAUCUAAAUAUUCCACUUAAAAUU
rnacentral:lncRNA from 1 species